GGAUAUAGCUCAGUUGGUAGAGUGCUUGCCUCACAUGUACAAGGCCCUGGGUUCAAUCCCCAGUACCACACA
rnacentral:tRNA from 1 species